rnacentral:rRNA from 1 species
GAUGAACGCUAGCGGCAGGCCUAAUACAUGCAAGCUGAACGGUAAAUGUUGUAGCAAUACAAUAUGAGAGUAGCGUAAGGGUGCGUAACACGUAUGCAAUCUACCCGCAACAGGAGGAUAGCUCCCCGAAAGGGGAAUUAAUACUCCAUAAGAUCACGAGAAGGCAUCUGAUUGUGAUUAAACUCCAAGGGGUUGCGGAUGAGCAUGCGCAUGAUUAGUUAGUUGGCGGGGUAACGGCCCACCAAGACGAUGAUCAUUAGGGGAACUGAGAGGUCGAUCCCCCACACUGGCACUGAGAUACGGGCCAGACUCCUACGGGAGGCAGCAGUAGGGAAUAUUGGUCAAUGGGUGAAAGCCUGAUCCAGCCAUGCCGCGUGUGUGAAGAAGGCCUUCGGGUCGUAAAGCACUUUAAGUUGGGAGGAAGGGCUCAUAGCGAAUACCUGUGAGUUUUGACGUUACCAACAGAAUAAGCACCGGCUAACUUCGUGCCAGCCGCCGCCGUAAUAC